GGAGGACGAAGUGCAGAGAAGGACAGCCAUUGGCGGAAGGACCAGGCGCGCCUCUCCGUCUCCGCUGGAGCUCCAGCUUCAAGGCGCCACCGGAUGCGGAUCUUGCAAGACCACGAUGGAGGAAUAUGGAAGAAAUAAAGGCGACCGGAGCUGUCCUACUUCAGAAAGAGGUCCAUUGUUCUCCCUGAGGGGACACUCACUCAGGUGUGAGCCCCCUCAGGGACAACAAUGGCUCAAAGAGGCCUGAUAAGGUAAGGUCAGGCCCAGCUAAAAAGGCCCCACCCACCAUGUUAACCAGGCAGUGCAGGCGUAGCUGGUUGCCGGAAUUGGAGCCGAGAAGGAAUUUUUCCCUGUUGCCCCCAAUUGGCUGUGGGGCAGCAGGUUUUUUGCCUUCUCUGCACUGCCUUUAUUGUACGCAGCGCCGGCCCUCUUGGCUGGCAACUUGGACUUACUGACACGUAACAGUCGCUAAGCCCAGGUGGGUGUUUAGGGCUGCUUCUUAAAAAAACUUUAAACUUCAAUAAAGUUGAAUAAUUAAACUUUA